GCGUCACAUAUGGCGCAACUUAAUAAGGUAUCAACUUUGCCGUGCUAAGCGGGGAGGUAGCGGUGCCCUGUACUCGCAAUCCGCUCUAGCGAGGCUGAAUCCCUUCCUUAGGCUGCCAUACUGUAGGGCCUGCCUUAAGUAAGUGGUGUUGACGCCCGGGUCCUGCGCAAUGGGAAUCCAUGAACCAUGUCAGGUCCGGAAGGAAGCAGCAUUAAGUGGACGCUCCCAUGUGCCGCAGGGUUGCCUGGGCCGAGCUAACUGCUUAAGUAACGCUUAUGGGUGUCAGUCGACGGAAGGUGCACGGCAGUUAUACAUAAAGCGACAACUCAUCCUGUAUG
rnacentral:SRP_RNA from 1 species